rnacentral:rRNA from 1 species
AUGCACGCUGGCGGCGUGCCUCAUCCCUGCCAGUCGCGCGAACAGACGAGGAGCUUGCUCCUCUGACGUUAGCGGCGGACGGGUGAGUAACACGUGGAUAACCUACCUAUAAGACUGGGAUAACUUCGGGAAACCGGAGCUAAUACCGGAUAAUAUAUUGAACCGCAUGGUUCAAUAGUGAAAGACGGUUUUGCUGUCACUUAUAGAUGGAUCCGCGCCGCAUUAGCUAGUUGGUAAGGUAACGGCUUACCAAGGCAACGAUGCGUAGCCGACCUGAGAGGGUGAUCGGCCACACUGGAACUGAGACACGGUCCAGACUCCUACGGGAGGCAGCAGUAGGGAAUCUUCCGCAAUGGGCGAAAGCCUGACGGAGCAACGCCGCGUGAGUGAUGAAGGUCUUCGGAUCGUAAAACUCUGUUAUUAGGGAAGAACAAAUGUGUAAGUAACUAUGCACGUCUUGACGGUACCUAAUCAGAAAGCCACGGCUAACUACGUG